UACGUAGGCAGCGAGCGUUGUUCGGAAUUACUGGGCGUAAAGAGUGUGUAGGCGGUGCUCCCAGUCUGUUGUGAAAUCUCCCGGCUUAACUGGGAGGGUGCAGCGGAAACUAGAGUGCUAGAGGGUGGGAGAGGUAAGCGGAAUUCCUGGUGUAGCGGUGAAAUGCGUUGAGAUCGGAAGGAACGCCCGUGGCGAAAGCGAGGUCCUGGACGCCUACUGACGCUGAGACGCGAAAGCCAGGGGAGCGAACGGG
rnacentral:rRNA from 1 species